UAAUGCCUANGAAAUUGCCUUGAUGUGGGGGAUAACCAUUGGAAACGAUGGCUAAUACCGCAUANNGCCUACGGGCCAAAGAGGGGGACCUUCGGGCCUCUCGCGUCNNGAUAUGCCUAGGUGGGAUUAGCUAGUUGGUGAGGUAAUGGCUCACCNNGGCGACGAUCCCUANCUGGUCUGAGAGGAUGAUCAGCCACACUGGAACUGANACNCGGUCCAGACUCCUACGGGAGGCAGCAGUGGGGAAUAUUGCACAAUGGGCGAAAGCCUGAUGCAGCCAUGCCGCGUGUAUGAAGAAGGCCUUCGGGUUGUAAAGUACUUUCAGUUGUGAGGAANGGGGUANCGUUAAUANCGCUAUCUCUUGACGUUAGCAACNNAAGAAGCACCGGCUAACUCCGUGCCAGCAGCCGCGGUAAUACGGAGGGUGCGAGCGUUAAUCGGAAUUACUGGGCGUAAAGCGCAUGCAGGUGGUUCAUUAAGUCAGAUGUGAAAGCCCGGGGCUCAACCUCGGAACUGCAUUUGAAACUGAUGAACUAGAGUACUGUAGAGGGGGGUAGAAUUUCAGGUGUAGCGGUGAANUGCGUAGAGAUCUGAAGGAAUACCAGUGGCGAAGGCGGCCCCCUGGACAGAUACUGACACUCAGAUGCGAAAGCGUGGGGAGCAAACAGGAUUAGAUACCCUGNUAGUCCACGCCGUAAACGANGUCUACUUGGA
rnacentral:rRNA from 1 species